rnacentral:rRNA from 1 species
CCUACGGGCGGCAGCAGUGAGGAAUAUUGGUCAAUGGGCGAGAGCCUGAACCAGCCAAGUCGCGUGAGGGAGUACUGCCCUAUGGGUUGUAAACCUCUUUUGUCGGGGAGCAAAAGCCGGACGUGUCCGGCUGUGAGAGUACCCGAAGAAAAAGCAUCGUCUAACUCCGUGCCAGCAGCCGCGGUAAUACGGAGGAUGCGAGCGUUAUCCGGAUUUAUUGGGUUUAAAGGGUGCGCAGGCGGAUUGUUAAGUCAGCGGUAAAAUCGUGGGGCUCAACCCCAUCCAGCCGUUGAAACUGGUGAUCUAGAGUGUGCGAGAGGUAUGCGGAAUGCGUGGUGUAGCGGUGAAAUGCAUAGAUAUCACGCAGAACCCCGAUUGCGAAGGCAGCAUACCGGUGCACAACUGACGCUCAGGCACGAAAGCGUGGGUAUCGAACAGGAUUAGAUACCCCUGUAGUC